rnacentral:ncRNA from 1 species
UUCCUUCGGGGUAGGGUGAAAUUCCCAACCGGCGGUGAUGAGGCACAGCCUCUAAGUCCGUGACCCGGUUAACAAAUGUUAAACGGUGGAUCUGGUGAAACUCCAGAGCCGACAGUAAAGUCUGGAUGGGAGAAGGAA